AUCCCGGAUCUGAAAGAAAGAGCCACAGUGACUCCAAGAGUGGAGCCAGGGCAUGCUGGACACUGCAUAGCUAUGGCCACGUGUGUCACCUCCGAGGGAGAUGUGAGAGAAACACAGAGGGAUCGCUUGUGACUGUGCCUUCUCGAUGUAUGAUGGACUGUUCUGCUCAAAUAGUAAGUGUGAACAAGGAGCCGGUGAACAUAGGAAACAAAGAAUAUUUCAUUUGACAUUAUAAGGAAUGAGACAAUUCUAGUCACUUGAAAGUGAACUAUAUCUGUCGAGAAUUCCUAGUUUUAAUUGCGAAGAAAUGUGCUUCUCUUUUUGAAAAGCCACAGGUUAUUGCUUUUAUAUCUAAUAUCAGUCCUCUCUGGAUCUCUCAAAGGAUUUUGUGUAUAUCCUACCAUUUUCCUUCUGUUGCUGCAGUUUGGAAGUAGUUUGUUAUCAGGAUUAUCAAAGCAUCAUUGCUAUUUAUGACAAUGACUAAGAAAUGCAAGAAUAUUUGGAACACUGUAGAAAAAAUAUUUUAGCCUGGAAGGCAAAUACUAAUUUCAGGAACUAUUGAUCUGUUAUAAAACAGGACCACUCAGACAUUUAGCUCUAGGACUUUGGCAUAUCUGUUGUUGGAGGCGUAUAGUGGGGGGCAUGACUCAGCUUCUGCUUAAGUACAAGUUGUCUGCAGCGAAGGAAGAAUUUGAUUGUAGUAUCAACAGAACCAGACAGAACUCUUUGAAUAUAAUUAUAUAUCUUGGAAACUGACUCAUCAAAGCUAUUAGAUUACAUAGCAUCAUUUAAGCAUCGUUGGGCUCUGUACUUUUCAUUAUCUGUACUUUUCAUUAUGGAGUAUAAUAGGCUUUAUUUGGUACAGAAAUUGGGUCUAAGAUGGAAACAACUUGUGAUUUUUGAAUAAACUUUUGGGGAUUAGUUACUUUGAUGUUGUCAAGAUAGCAGCAUAGUAAGUCCUCUGCCUUUCCUUUUGAUUUAUUUAUAAUUUAGAAUCAGUUUAUGAUUUUAAAAAAUGUGACAGACACAGUGGCAUGCACCAGUAGUACCAGCCACAUGGGAAACUGAGGCAGAAGGAUCACUUGAUCCCAGAAGAUAGAGACCACCCUGGGCAACAUAGUGAGAGCCCCAUCUCAAAAAAAAAAAAUCAAUUCCCAAUACCAUUCCAGAACACUUUUAAUAUAACCAGAUGAAAUUGUGAUCACUUCUUUACUGUAACGUUUAAAAUGGUCCUCAGUCCAUAUUUAAGUACAAUCUUAGUGUUUCUGUGCAACCUAAUAUAUUAGAAACAAAAACUGUAUUGCAUUUGAAUAGGAAAUAACUCUGAAUUGAGGGUUAUUUCGUUUAACAGUUGCAAUUAGAUUGGUUAGUGACAAUUAUCUGUAAUUUUCAGGCAAUGCCUAGGCAAGUGCCCAAGACACAGUAGCCUCCUCCUUGCCUCCGUAUGUGUGUGUGUGUGUGUGUGUGUGUGUAUGUGUGUGUGGAGGGUGGUAACAUUUCUGGGAAUUUGUCUUAACAUAAAAUGAUACCACCUUUCACAAAACGACCUAGAGGAAGUUGGAAAUCUCACUAUCCUGGCUUCCUGCUGAGCAAUAUCUGCUUCUCUUUCUGACUCAGGCUGAUGCAUCUGUAUACUUAGCUUCACUUCUCCAGUAAAUAAGGGAGAGCUUUAUUAUAAAAGACAACUUCUAUUGAUUUUCAAGGGGGUGGGUGGUUGUCAAGCUCACUCCUUUCUAUGCACUGAGGGAAAAUUAUUGUAAGCGAUCUGUAAAACAAUAGAUGAAAAAAGAGGAGAUAAAAAUUAAAUAAAAUUUAAAUAAAAACUAGGAUCCUAAGUGGGAAAAUAGCUUUAAAUUAGAAAUUGAUACCAAAAAAUAAUGAUAUGUAAUCUAAGAUGAAAAUAUUUUGAAGACUAUCAGCAUAUCUCCCUUAAAUGUUAUUUAGUUCUGAAAAAUAUGUAUUGAAGAACUGUUAUAUUUUACUUUAUGUCUUAUAUUAAAUGUGCU
rnacentral:lncRNA from 10 species